rnacentral:rRNA from 1 species
CCUACGGGUGGCAGCAGUAGGGAAUAUUGCUCAAUGGGGGAAACCCUGAAGCAGCAACGCCGCGUGGAUGAUGAAGGUUUUCGGAUUGUAAACUCCUUUUGUCAGAGAAGAUAAUGACGGUAUCUAACGAAUAAGCACCGGCUAACUCCGUGCCAGCAGCCGCGGUAAUACGGAGGGUGCAAGCGUUAUUCGGAAUCACUGGGCGUAAAGAGCGCGUAGGCGGGAUAGCAAGUCAGAUGUGAAAUCCUAUGGCUUAACCAUAGAACUGCAUUUGAAACUGUUAGUCUAGAGUAUGGGAGGGGUAGGUGGAAUUCUUGGUGUAGGGGUAAAAUCCGUAGAGAUCAGGAGGAAUACUCGGGGCGAAGGCGACCUGCUAGAACGUAACUGACGCUGAGGCGCGAAAGCGUGGGGAGCAAACAGGAUUAGAUACCCUUGUAGUC